rnacentral:misc_RNA from 1 species
GUUGCCCGGUAACAAGAGCUGGUGAAAACUCCUUGCAAUGCUUGAUUAUCUUCAAUAUAACCAAUCCUUCAAUCUGAACAACUCGGAGAGGAGAAGCAACCUCUUCCGUAGCAGCAACCUGCAAAAAAGAUCUAGCCAUCGAGUUUGCCAUGAUUAGGGAUUCGAUGGAAGAUGUGAAUUGAAUCGCAGAAGCAGCUACGUGCGUGUUUUGGGAGGUGCAAAAGUGAAGAGAGUUUGUG